rnacentral:lncRNA from 1 species
GCCUUUAAGAUUCGAAUGCUUUGAUUGAGGGUAAACCUACAAUAAAUGCUACUUGUCAUUAACAUUGAGAUAUAUUAACAGCCUUAUCAAGAAAGAUUGUAAAUUUGAGUAAAUAUUUUUUUUAUUUUGGUAUAGCUGUUGCAUAUAAAGAAAACCUGCGCGUAGAAUUGCUCUUUUUGAAAAAAGUGUAAUGACGUCACGGUGACAUUUUAAGUGAU